AAUGUUAAUUACAAAACAACAGCUAUGGGUGUAAAGGUUCACCAAACCCCCGGAUUCGGGACGCAUCUGACGUUUUAGGGUCACGGUUCAGUGUCGGUAUAGCAGGUUACAUUUUUGGGGGUAAAACAUGCAAAACUAAGAAAGGAAUAGAUGAGGCAUAGAAUGUAGGGCCCUAUAACAUGUUAAAUUUACCCCCUAAUUCAGUUAUUCCACGUUUCAGAUUUUCAGAAGUCUCAAAAUCAAACUUUACGUUUAAUAGAAAAACAACACAAUUGGAGGUUCUAAGCCAACAACAAUGUUUCAACCCCGUCAGGAGACAAUUGGAGGUUCUAAGCCCACAACAAUGUUUCAAUCCCAUCAGGAGACAAUUGGAGGUUCUAAGCCCACAACAAUGUUUCAACCCCAUCAGGAGACAAUUGGAGGUUCUAAGCCCACAACAAUGUUUCAACCCCAUCAGGAGACAAUUGGAGGUUCUAAGCCCACAACAAUGUUUCAACCCCAUCAGGAGACAAUUGGAGGUUCUAAGCCCACAACAAUGUUUCAACCCCAUCAGGAGACAAUUGGAGGUUCUAAGCCCACAACAAUGUUUCAACCCCAUCAGGAGACAAUUGGAGGUUCUAAGCCCACAACAAUGUUUCAACCCCAUCAGGAGACAAUUGGAGGUUCUAAGCCCACAACAAUGUUUCAACCCCGUCAGGAGACAAUUGGAGGUUCUAAGCCCACAACAAUGUUUCAACCCCAUCAGGAGUACAUUUUGUGGUCUGCUGAAAAUAAAUAUUAAUUUUUAGGUUUAGAUACCCUUGAACUUAACUGAAAACUCUUACUGACAGUUGUGUCUGC